rnacentral:rRNA from 1 species
GUGGGGAAUUUUGGACAAUGGGCGAAAGCCUGAUCCAGCAAUGCCGCGUGUGUGAAGAAGGCCUUCGGGUUGUAAACUGCUUUUGUACGGAACGAAACGGUCCGGGUUAAUACCCUGGGCUAAUGACGGUACCGUAAGAAUAAGCACCGGCUAACUACGUGCCAGCAGCCGCGGUAAUACGUAGGGUGCAAGCGUUAAUCGGAAUUACUGGGCGUAAAGCGUGCGCAGGCGGUUUUGUAAGACAGGCGUGAAAUCCCCGGGCGCAACCUGGGAAUUGCGCUUGUGACUGCAAGGCUGGAGUGAGGCAGAGGGGGAUGGAAUUCCGCGUGUAGCAGUGAAAUGCGUAGAUAUGCGGAGGAACACCGAUGGCGAAGGCAAUCCCCUGGGCCUGCACUGACGCUCAUGCACGAAAGCGUGGGGAGCAAACAGGAUUAGAUACCCGUGUAGUCC